CCUGGUAUCUCAGUUGGUUAAGAACCUGCCUGCAGUGCUGGAGACCUGGGUUCAAUCCCGGUGUCAGGA
rnacentral:tRNA from 1 species